rnacentral:ncRNA from 1 species
GGUCAAAUCAAUAUGUCCCUUAUACCCUAAGCGACACACCUACUACAAUAGACGGAACAAAUGAUCGUGAUCCCGCGAGGGUGAGCGAACUCCAAAAACUCAUCCUCAGUUCAGAUUGUAGGCUGCAACUCGCUUGCAUGAAGUCGAAAUCAUCAGUCAGCCAUACGAUGAUGAAUUCGUUCCUAGGUCUUGUACACACUGCUCAUCACACUAUAGGAGUUGGCCAUGCCCAAAGUCGUUACCUUAACCACAAGGAAGAGAUACCAAAAGCAUGAUUAGUGACUUGAGUGAAGAAUAUAAAUUUUAUUACAUUCUAAACUAAAAACUUAUAAAAAAUUUAUAUAUAUAUAU